rnacentral:sRNA from 1 species
UUAUAGCCCUGAUUGAAAUGAAAAUCCUUUUUUGUCUCGUCCCUAGACGAGACAAAAAAGAUUGUAAUGGAAAGCAGGAAGAGUC